rfam:Flavobacterium branchiophilum FL-15, complete genome.
CCCUAGCCCAGACAGGAAUGGAAAACCCGCAAAACAAAAAAAGUAGGGGUUCUUGCAAAAAAAAAGCGACCUAAGAAGCUCUUUUUUUUGCAUUAGAACCCCACUUUUUUUGUUGCGGAUUUGUAAUGGAUGGCUGGAAAUAGC